rnacentral:lncRNA from 1 species
UUACUCUCUAAACUCCGUGCAGGAGACACGGUGGGGCCUGGUGUCAGUGACAGACAGCUGAGCAGAGGCUGGCCGCAUUAUCAGCAACUCUCUGAAUGUGCUUCCCCAAAAGAAUAUUCCCAUCCCAGCAAAGGAAGCCAAGAUCCAGACACUCAUAAAGAAAAUCAACGAUGGACUAAGGGGAACCGUCUCCAGAAAGGUCUAAGUAAAAGAUGUGGUCGGAAGACACUGACUGACUGGCAGACACUCGUGCCCCUGAGGAGGGGAGCCUGCAAUAAAGGAUCCUCCGCUCUCACUGAGGGAGCGAGUACUACUGUGGAAAUCACUUCAGCCAGGAAGCUGUGCUGGCUGUCUGGACCAGAACUGCAGCCAAUGCCAGGAUGAUGGAGGCAACAGAAUCCCCCCAGGAGACUCAGGGUGUCCAGUGAGGCGUGGUCCAUGCAUGACAGAAGCCUCCCCACAGACACAGAUGAUGGGGUCACUUACAAUUCCAUGCUGGACGAGCCUGGGUUCCUGAGAAACAAGAGAGAGUGAGUGCCUCCUCCGUGUUCCCUGCCUGCAGUCUUCCAGUGUGUUGUGCCCCAUGCAUUCAGAGGAAUGAUGUGUUAAAUGAAAAUUAACAUGAUAUUAGCAUACCAGGAAAAAUCACACAUCUGUGAUUGUAGUACCCUCCACUCUUUCUGCUCCCCCGGCUCUGGACUGGUGGGCUGUAGAUGACACAGAAAGGUGUCUGUUUUGGGUUGGGAUACAGAUGCUUAUGUUUUAAAAGGGGAAAACAUGGGGCUUCCUUGACAGUCCAGUUGUUAAGACUUUGCCUCCCGACGCAGGAGGUGUGGGGUUGAUUCCUGGUCAGGGAGCUAAGAUUCCCAUACCUCGCUGCCAAAAAACCAAAACAAAACAGAAGCAAUAUUAUAACAAAUUCAAUAAAAACUUUAAAAAAAAAAAAA